rnacentral:lncRNA from 1 species
GAGGAGAUAAGUGACAUAAACUGGCAUGUUCUGAAAGAAUCACUCUGGAUGCUGUGUGGAGAAAACACUGAAAAGGAAUUUGUUAUCUCGAUUAUGGAGGGCGACAAGUCCCACAGUCUGCCAUCUGCAGGAUGGAGAACCAGUCUUUAUAGGGGGAGAAUAAUUGACUCCAUUCAAGUGUUCGCUCCUGUUUCAAUCAACUAUGGCUGAAGAGUGAGGAGACAUUUGGAAUAAAUAUGGCUUCUGGGGGCCCAUUCCUAUGGAUCAGCAGCUGGCUUCUGGAGGCCCAUUCCUGUGAAUCGUCGAUCUCAUAGAAGAUAAUAUUGUUAGAAGGCUUACCUCAUUGAUGCUGAACAUCCUAAAAAGCUUCUGCUGCUUUGAGUCACUGAAAAAGACCAAGAAACAUGAAUUUAAAAAAAAAUUUCAAAUGUUAUAAAAUAAAUAAUAUGAACUCAUUAUACCUACAA